GCAUAAACAUUUCCUCUUAUUAAAAAAACAUAAAUGUUUUCAAUGAAUAUUCCUACAAACGAAUCACAUUUUUCAUGUUUCGUCGCCAAAAAAAAAAGAAGCGAAAAGAGGCAACCUCGACAUGGCGGACAGAGUCUGCUGCGCAACGGCGGCGGCGGCCUCGGAUUUGGGCUUGAGCUUAUCCGGGAGGAGGUCGUCGAUGAGCCACCGGUGGCGGAUCCGGGCCAGAGCCGGAAGAGUUCGAGUCGGGGCGGCGGCGGAGGUGCCCCGGCCGACGCGACGCGCGCCACCGCAGCUACCUCAUCCUCCCAUCUCUCUCUCUCUCCCCCCGUUCGAUCCGGUCCAAAUGUGGUUUUAGCCCAAUCUCCCAAGCGGCAGCCCAAUCUCACUGCUUUCUUUCUUUCAGAUUCAGAUUCAGAUGGAUGGAGGAUAAUAUUCAUCAGCUGCAGCUGGACAAGAUUAAUUGGUGACUUUCUAAAGGAUUAAUUGGCUCACAUCGCUGCUCUGUACUUGCUGAAUCUCCCUCAAGACCAAUAUCACAAUGUGCAAGAAAUGAGGCAGAGCUCAAGGGAGUGGGCAGUUGCAAGGAGCAGUUUCUUUCAGACCAAGCUCUUCUGGCAGGGAUUCUCAAGGAGCAUAUAUAUGCCGACUGACUAAUGUUGGUCUGCGCUAUUACUUGUCAAUAAUUAGUGGUGUGGUGUGAUUCAGUCAGCUCCUGAGGCCACGACACCUACAGACUACAGAGGAGCCUUGUUUCUUUUUCAAGUAGUGUUGCAAGCCUCGUGUGCCUGAAUGGAUCGAUCCUGUGAGGCUGCUCUGGACUUUCUGAAUUUCGCACAAGAUCAAUUUUCACGAUGCGAAUAAAGAGGCGUGCAGAGCUCUCAAGGAAGCAGUUUCAGGGAAGCAUGUUUUGAUGCUGGAAGAGCUCUCAAGUCCUGACUGACUCACUCACUCAUGUUGUUCUCCUCUACUAGUGCUUGUCAGCGAUUACUUACCGUCGUGAUUCAGAAAGGAAUUACGUAAACGGCAUGGUUCUGCUCUGCCCGAGGAGAGGAGCCCCUGCUCCUGCUGUAUAUAUAUUCCCCGUCAGCUCUGGAGCCACGACCCCAUAAAAAAGGACGUGCUGGUCAGUUGCUUCAUAAUGCUCUGGACGGAACUCAUUUUGCGGCGCUGAACUCAGUGGGAGCAGCCAUGCCAUGCGAAUUGGGAACAUAUUUACUUAUUCAUCUGGUUUUGUAGAGUCAUUUAUUUAUAAAUAAAGUUUGUCGAUGGUUCAUGUUCUAUAUAUGGACAUGGAGGAUAGCUAUCUCUGUUUUGUAAGAAGAUCUUUUGUACCUGCAUAUAUAUAUUCUUCGUUGUCAAACAAA